AAGGAGCAGAGAGGAGGGGGCACACAGAGGGAGAAGGACUCAGGUCAGAGAGACACAAAGGAGUGGGUCAGAAGGACGCAGAGCAGCGGGUCAGAGGGACGCCGAGGACAGAAGGGUUGGGGCGCGCAUCGGGAGGUGGCUGAAAGGGGAUUAGUAAGACACACAGAGCCAACAAUCCAACUCAGAUGCGUCAGAGGGAUAGAGGGACCAAGGGCAGGAGAGAAGAAUGCGCGUUGGAAAUGUCAAGGUCCCAUUUCCUUGUCCUUGACAGUCCCUAAAGAGGUCUGGGAGGGGGUCUGCUUGUUGCAUAUCUCCUUGUCCCGUGAGUGGGCUGACACCUAGCGCUGUGUUUUACCCCCGGGAGACUCAGAAGUCAGGGUGCCACGCUUUGCUGAGCCUCCUGGGAGGGCUCCAGGACGCGUGAAGGAAGACCCACCCUUGAUGUGUGUGAGGGAGUCUCCAGAAUCCAACACCUCUGACCCCUGACCUCUGUCCUCCCCGACCCAGCAGGCACCAUGUGGGGAUGUCCGCUAGGGCUGCUAUUGCUGCUGCUGGCUGGCCAGGCUGCCCUGGAGGCCCGGCGGAGUCGUUGGCGCAGGGAGCUGGCGCCAGGGCUGCACCUGCGGGGCAUCCGGGACGCCGGUGGCAGAUACUGCCAAGAGCAGGACAUGUGCUGCCGCGGCCGUGCUGACGAGUGUGCUUUGCCCUACCUGGGA
rnacentral:lncRNA from 1 species